rnacentral:rRNA from 1 species
GGGCCGCGGGAAAUUUUGUUUAACGCGAAGAACCCUUACCCGGUCUUUGACAUUUUUUUGCUAACUAAAGAGAUUAAGCGUUCCCUUCCGGGGACGGAAUGACAGGUGGUGCAUGGUUGUCGUCAGCUCGUGUCGUGAGAUGUUGGGUUAAGUCCCGCAACGAGCGCAACCCUCGUUCUAUGUUGCCAGCGCGUAAUGGCGGGAACUCAUAGGAGACUGCCGGGGUCAACUCGGAGGAAGGUGGGGAUGACGUCAAAUCAUCAUGCCCCUUAUGUCUUGGGCUUCACGCAUGCUACAAUGGCCGGUACAAAGGGCUGCAAUACCGUAAGGUGGAGCGAAUCCCAAAAAGCCGGUCUCAGUUCGGAUUGAGGUCUGCAACUCGACCUCAUGAAGUCGGAGUCGCUAGUAAUCGCAGAUCAGCA